GCUUGUCUCAAAGAUUAAGCCAUGCAUGUCUAAGUAUAAGCCUUUAUAUGGUGAGACUGCGAAUGGCUCAUUAAAUCAGAAACUGUUUAUUUGAUAGUGCCUACUACAUGGAUACCUGUAGUAAUUCUAGAGCUAAUACAUGCAAAAAGCCUGGACUUCUGGAACAGGCGUAUUUAUUAGAUAAAGAACCAAUCCAUGCUUGCAUGGUUUUGUGGUGAUUCAUAAUAACUGAUCGAAUCGCAUGCCUUCGGGCGGCGAUGUAUCAUUCAAGUUUCUGACCUAUCAGCUUCCGACGGUAGGGUAUUGGCCUACCGUGGCAAUGACGGGUAACGGGGAAUUAGGGUUCGAUUCCGGAGAGGGAGCCUGAGAAACGGCUACCACAUCUAAGGAAGGCAGCAGG
rnacentral:rRNA from 1 species